rnacentral:rRNA from 1 species
GACGAACGCUGGCGGCGUGCCUAAUACAUGCAAGUCGAGCGAACCAAUAGAAGCUUGCUUCUAGAGGUUAGCGGCGGACGGGUGAGUAACACGUGGGCAACCUACCUGUAAGACUGGGAUAACUUCGGGAAACCGAAGCUAAUACCGGAUAAUUCUUCUUUACACAUGUAGAGGAGAUAAAAGACGGUUUCGGCUGUCACUUACAGAUGGGCCCGCGGCGCAUUAGCUAGUUGGUGAGGUAACGGCUCACCAAGGCAACGAUGCGUAGCCGACCUGAGAGGGUGAUCGGCCACACUGGGACUGAGACACGGCCCAGACUCCUACGGGAGGCAGCAGUAGGGAAUCUUCCGCAAUGGACGAAAGUCUGACGGAGCAACGCCGCGUGAGUGAUGAAGGUUUUCGGAUCGUAAAACUCUGUUGUUAGGGAAGAACAAGUACGAGAGUAACUGCUCGUACCUUGACGGUACCUAACCAGAAAGCCACGGCUAACUACGUG